UACGUAGGGGGCAAGCGUUGUCCGGAUUUACUGGGCGUAAAGCGCGCGUAGGCGGAUGUUUAAGUGUGGCCUGAAAGCCCCCGGCUCAACCGGGGAGGGUGGCUGCAAACUGGGCAUCUUGAGGGGGAUAGAGGAGAGUGGAAUUCCGGGUGUAGCGGUGAAAUGCGUAGAGAUCCGGAGGAACACCAGUGGCGUAGGCGGCUCUCUGGGGUCCGCCCUGACGCUGAGGCGCGAAAGCGUGGGGAGCGAACGGGA
rnacentral:rRNA from 1 species